AAAGUCGUAACAAGGUAACCGUAGGUGAACCUGCGGUUGGAUCAUUAACAAUGAGCGUUUUGAACGCACACUAGACUAGUCUAGGCUAGUCUGGUAAACCCUCUGUGAACUGUUGCACCUUACGGUGUUUUUUACAUUAAGACUGAAUCAAUGAGAUUAAUUAAAAUACAACUUUUAACAACGGAUCUCUUGGCUCUC
rnacentral:misc_RNA from 1 species